rnacentral:other from 1 species
UUCAUCCUGGGGUGUGCGCCACAUCUUUAUUUUGAACCUACAGAUCUCAAAUGGAGCCCGAGUUGGCCGGGAACAUGCCAGGCCCCCUUGCAGGGGAAGGCAGACGCCUACCAUAGGGCACCUCCCUGCUAGGAAAGCAGGUGUCAAAAUAAGGUGAGCGGCACUUUGGGAUUUUU